GGGGGCAUGGUGGUGAAGUGGGUAGCACUGCUGCCUCAUAGCGCCUCUGCUGUUCCGGCGUCGGUUCAAAUCCGACUGUCUGCG
rnacentral:tRNA from 1 species